UGCUGAUAGUUGUUACGAUUUUUGUUUUAUCAGAAAAUGUCAAUUCAAACUUUUGCUACUUUAUAUUGGGAUGGAGAAAUCAUUAUGAAUGAUGAAGGCUAUGAAUAUUAUGGGGGUUCAUCAACCGUCAUUACUAUUGGUAAACGUAUGGAUUUUGGUACUUUAGGAAUGAAAAUUGUCCGUGGAAUUAAUCUUAAAGGUGGACAUGAAUUUAUAUCGAAAAUCUUAUUCAGA
rnacentral:misc_RNA from 1 species